GUUGUCGUGGCCGAGUGGUUAAUGCGAUGGACUAGAAAUCUUUUGCGAUCUUCCCACGUAGGUUCGAAUCCUUAAUCCGACAUCG
rnacentral:tRNA from 1 species